AGUCGAGCGGUAGAGAGUGCUUGCACUCUUGAGAGCGGCGGACGGGUGAGUAAUGCCUAGGAAUCUGCCUAGUGGUGGGGGAUAACGUUCGGAAACGGACGCUAAUACCGCAUACGUCCUACGGGAGAAAGCGGGGGCUCUUCGGACCUCGCGCCAUUAGAUGAGCCUAGGUCGGAUUAGCUAGUUGGUGAGGUAAUGGCUCACCAAGGCGACGAUCCGUAACUGGUCUGAGAGGAUGAUCAGUCACACUGGAACUGAGACACGGUCCAGACUCCUACGGGAGGCAGCAGUGGGGAAUAUUGGACAAUGGGCGCAAGCCUGAUCCAGCCAUGCCGCGUGUGUGAAGAAGGUCUUCGGAUUGUAAAGCACUUUAAGUUGGGAGGAAGGGCACUUGCUUAAUACGUAGGUGUUUUGACGUUACCGACAGAAUAAGCACCGGCUAACUCUGUGCCAGCAGCCGCGGUAAUACAGAGGGUGCAAGCGUUAAUCGGAAUUACUGGGCGUAAAGCGCGCGUAGGUGGUUUGUUAAGUUGAAUGUGAAAUCCCCGGGCUCAACCUGGGAACUGCAUCCAAAACUGGCAAGCUAGAGUAUGGUA
rnacentral:rRNA from 1 species